rnacentral:rRNA from 1 species
CACGUAGGGGGCAAGCGUUGUCCGGAUUUAUUGGGCGUAAAGAGCUCGUAGGCGGUUCGGUAAGUCGGGUGUGAAACCUCCAGGCUCAACCUGGAGACGCCACCCGAUACUGCUGUGACUAGAGUCCGGUAGGGGAGCGUGGAAUUCCUGGUGUAGCGGUGAAAUGCGCAGAUAUCAGGAAGAACACCAAUGGCGAAAGCAGCUCUCUGGGACGGUACUGACGCUGAGACGCGAAAGCGUGGGGAGCGAACAGG